rnacentral:lncRNA from 10 species
AUGUUAGUACAUACAUGUCAUUCUUUUGAACAGCUAAAUAGUAUUCCAUAGUUUGAGUGUAAUGAAUGCAGCUUUCAUGUUUCCUAUUUUUCACUCUUACAUUGUGCAAUGAACAGCUAAAUAGUAUUCCAUAGUUUGAGUGUAAUGAAUGCAGCUUUCAUGUUUCCUAUUUUUCACUCUUACAUUGUGCAAUGAACAUCCUUGGACAUAAUUCUUGCACACUUGAGUAUUUGUGCUGUAGCAGCUGGAUAUCCUGCCGUUUACAGCACUGGAUCAUGAAGUUGGCAUAUCAAAAUGUUUAACAGGCUGGGCGCGGUGGCUCACGCCUGUAAUCCGAGCACUUUGGGAAGCCGAGACGGGUAGAUCACUUGAGGUCAGCAGUUCGAGACCAGCCUGGCCAACAUGGUGAAACCCUGUCUCUACUAAAAAUGCAAAAAAAUCAGCCAGGCAUGGUGGUGCACACCUGUAAUAUCAGCUACUCGGGAGGCUAAGGCAGGAGAAUCGCUUGAACCUGGGAGGCAGAGGUUGCAGUGAGCCUAGAAUAUGCCACUGUACUCGUCUGGGCAACAGAGCAAGACUGUCUCAAAAAAAAAAAAAAAAAGUUU